UUCAAUGAGUGCUCAGGCCAUGCUUCUUUGCGAAGUAUUGCCAGUUUAUCCUGCCUUACCAAGCGUUGUUCCUUAGUGACUUUCAUGACUGCUAUCCUGUGUAUGACCCUGCCUGCCUUGAUCACUUUUUUUUGGCCCACCUGUAGCAGAAGACACAGCCUGAGUCUUGAUGGUGCUGGAUAGAGGACAGGAGAAGGACAAUGGGACAUUUGAGAAGUCCUUCUCAUGAUGAUGAACACUAUGAAGAGACACAUUGGACGCACAGCACUGCAGGAAACAGAAAAGGGUUAAAGUGAAGUUGCUUGAGGAACAAGCCCAAUUAAUGCGCCGUUUGAGGUGAUUAUGUCUGCUUUUGAAUAUGAUUGGUGUACUGUAUGUAUGGUGUAUUAACUUGUUAAUCAUUGUAAUUUAAUUAAUGUAUUACUAUUGUAAAGGCAUGUGAAAAUUAAUACAAGGAUAUUUACAGUGUAAGAAGACAACAACAUGAUAUAUGAUGUGAGCAGCAAAAUCAGUUGUACGUUAGGUUUACUAUUAAUUAUUUGCAGUGCAAGUAUGUGAUC